AGAGUUUGAUCAUGGCUCAGAUUGAACGCUGGCGGAAUGCUUUACACAUGCAAGUCGAACGGCAGCACGGGGCAACCUGGUGGCGAGUGGCGAACGGGUGAGUAAUACAUCGGAACGUGCCCAAUCGUGGGGGAUAACGUAGCGAAAGUUACGCUAAUACCGCAUACGAUCUACGGAUGAAAGCGGGGGAUCGCAAGACCUCGCGCGAAUGGAGCGGCCGAUGUCAGAUUAGGUAGUUGGUGGGGUAAAGGCUCACCAAGCCAACGAUCUGUAGCUGGUCUGAGAGGACGACCAGCCACACUGGAACUGAGACACGGUCCAGACUCCUACGGGAGGCAGCAGUGGGGAAUUUUGGACAAUGGGCGCAAGCCUGAUCCAGCAAUGCCGCGUGCAGGAUGAAGGCCUUCGGGUUGUAAACUGCUUUUGUACGGAACGAAAAGCUUCGGGCUAAUACCCUGAAGUCAUGACGGUACCGUAAGAAUAAGCACCGGCUAACUACGUGCCAGCAGCCGCGGUAA
rnacentral:rRNA from 1 species